rnacentral:rRNA from 1 species
UACGGAGGGUGCAAGCGUUGCUCGGAAUCAUUGGGCGUAAAGCGUACGCAGGCUGUUCGUUAAGUCGGGUGUGAAAGCCCGGGGCUCAACCCCGGAACUGCGCCCGAAACUGGCGGGCUUGAGUGCGGGAGAGGGAAGCGGAAUUCCUGGUGUAGAGGUGAAAUUCGUAGAUAUCAGGAGGAACACCGGUGGCGAAAGCGGCUUCCUGGCCCGACACUGACGCUCAUGUACGAAAGCGUGGGGAGCAAACAGG